rnacentral:rRNA from 1 species
UGCGUAGGCGGCUUUUUAAGUCGGAUGUGAAAUCCCUGAGCUUAACUUAGGAAUUGCAUUCGAUACUGGAAAGCUAGAGUAUGGGAGAGGAUGGUAGAAUUCCAGGUGUAGCGGUGAAAUGCGUAGAGAUCUGGAGGAAUACCGAUGGCGAAGGCAGCCAUCUGGCCUAAUACUGACGCUGAGGUACGAAAGCAUGGGGAGGAAACAGGAUUAGCUAUCCUUGGA